GCCCGGCUAGCUCAAUCGGUAAAGCGUGAGACUCUUAAUCUUAAGGUUGUGGGUUCGACCCCUACAUCGGGCU
rnacentral:tRNA from 1 species